AUUGAACGCUGGCGGCAUGCCUUACACAUGCAAGUCGAACGGUAACAGGUUAAGCUGACGAGUGGCGAACGGGUGAGUAAUGUAUCGGAACGUGCCCAGUCGUGGGGGAUAACUACUCGAAAGAGUGGCUAAUACCGCAUACGACCUGAGGGUGAAAGCGGGGGACCGUAAGGCCUCGCGCGAUUGGAGCGGGCGAUAUCAGAUUAGCUAGUUGGUGGGGUAAAAGCCCACCAAGGCGACGAUCUGUAGCUGGUCUGAGAGGACGACCAGCCACACUGGGACUGAGACACGGCCCAGACUCCUACGGGAGGCAGCAGUGGGGAAUUUUGAACAAUGGACGCAAGUCUGAUCCAGCCAUGCCGCGUGCGGGAAGAAGGCCUUCGGGUUGUAAACCGCUUUUGUCAGGGAAGAAACGAGUUUCUCUAAUACAGAGACUUAAUGACGGUACCUGAAGAAUAAGCACCGGCUAACUACGUGCCAGCCGCCGCAGUAACAC
rnacentral:rRNA from 1 species